GCUUGUCUCAAAGAUUAAGCCAUGCAUGUCUAAGUGUAAAUAAGUCUAUACUGUGAAACUGCGAAUGGCUCAUUAAAUCAGUUAUCGUUUAUUUGAUGAUCUCUUACUACUUGGAUAACCGUAGUAAUUCUAGAGCUAAUACAUGCAUCAAACCCAAACUUACGAAUGGGUGUAUUUAUUAGAUGGAAACCAAUGCGGGGAAACCCGGAUCCUGGUGAUUCAUAAUAACUUUCGGAUCGAUUGCAAAAUCGAUGCAUCAUUCAAGUUUCUGCCCUAUCAGCUUUGGAUGGUAGGGUAUUGGCCUACCAUGGCUUUAACGGGUAACGGAGAAUUAGGGUUCGAUUCCGGAGAGGGAGCCUGAGAAACGGCUACCACAUCUAAGGAAGGCAGCAGG
rnacentral:rRNA from 1 species